AUUGAACGCUGGCGGCAUGCCUUACACAUGCAAGUCGAACGGUAACGCGGGGCAACCUGGCGACGAGUGGCGAACGGGUGAGUAAUGUAUCGGAACGUGCCCAAUAGUGGGGGAUAGCCCGGCGAAAGCCGGAUUAAUACCGCAUGAGACCUGAGGGUGAAAGCGGGGGAUCGCAAGACCUCGCGCUGUUGGAGCGGCCGAUAUCAGAUUAGGUAGUUGGUGGGGUAAAGGCCUACCAAGCCUGCGACCUGUAGCUGGUCUGAGAGGAUGACCAGCCACACUGGGACUGAGACACGGCCCAGACUCCUACGGGAGGCAGCAGUGGGGAAUUUUGGACAAUGGGCGCAAGCCUGAUCCAGCCAUGCCGCGUGCGGGAAGAAGGCCUUCGGGUUGUAAACCGCUUUUGUCAGGGAAGAAAUCUUCUGGGUUAAUACCUCGGGAGGAUGACGGUACCUGAAGAAUAAGCACCGGCUAACUACGUGCCAGCCGCCGCCGUAA
rnacentral:rRNA from 1 species